ACGUUGAAACACUGGUUCUCGUAUGAUCACCGAAGUUAAGCAAAGUGGUGCCUGGUCAGUACCUAGAUGGGUGACCGCUUGGGAAUACU